UAUUAGAGACGAAUUUUUAGACAGGUACUAUAAGCAUCUCAAACUUCAGAUGGACGUAUUGCUAAAAAUUUGUCUGUAAAUAACACUUGAGAUGAAAUUGUUAUGGAGAGGACAUUAACCUCGACAACAGAUCAGUCAACAAUAGACCUGUCAAAAAUCGACCCGAUCCGAAAACCGACCCGAACCCGACCCGAAAAAAGCGGGUCCUGAACAAGAUUUUUCGACCUGUAACCCGUUUUUAUCCGAACCCGAACAACCCAAAAUUUUCGGGUCAGAAACGGGUUGGGUUCGGUCUGACCCGUCGGGUUUAGGGGUUAAAUGAAAAAUUAAGUUUUUUUAAAAAAAAAAUUGAAAAAACAACCUAAAAUCCUAAAAACCCUAAAACUAAACUAUCAGAUUCUGGAGCCGCCGACCAAACACCCAUCUUUCUUUCUCUCUCUCAUCCUCUCAUUCUCUCUGAGUCUCUGGUUUAUCGGCAAGGCGACCAUGGGUCAGACGGUCGAACUCUCGUCCUCCCUUCUAUAAGCGAGGAGGUUCUCCAUCAGGGUGUAUACCCUUUCCUCGUGGUCAAUCAAUUUUUUCAUCCUCUUCAUCUCCCACUACUCAAGAAGGUUUCUUCAAAGUAACUCUCAUGUCAAAUACUGGUUUGCCUUUGAAAAAAAAAAGGCGUUGUAAAAAAAGGCACUAAAAAAGCUCUAAACCCGUUGGGUCAACCCGAACCCGAACACUCUGGGUCCUGAACAAGCAUUUGUCAACCCGAACCCGAAAGUGACCGAACCGUUAAAACCCGAACCCGAAAGUGACCGACUCUGACCCGACCCGACCCGUUUGACAGGUCUAGUCAACAAGGGUUAUUGGGCCUAGCUGAGGCAGCCUAGUCAACCCUUUAUGUCUAAAAUUUCUGAAUUCAAUAAUUCUACGCGUACGGAGUUUCAAAAUUUCCGUCUAAAAUUUGUAACGAACUUGUCCAAGGUCCGUCUUAAGAAUAUUUUGGUAUGAUCUCUACGUGGAUAUUUUAUGUCAUUUCUAAUCAAUAUUCUGAGACAGAUUUGGACUAAGGACAAAUUGUUUUCUACCACCUAAAAAAAUCGAAAAAAUAUUUUUUACCAUCUAAAAAAUUAAAACUUGUAUUUUACUACCUAAAAAAUUAAAACUUAUUUUUUACCCCCUGAAAACGAUAAAAUAGAUAAAACCUUUAUGUGUUGCUAACCAAUACAAUUUACCUCCAAUUUUUUUACUCUUUGUGUGAUUUUAUUUAACUCUUUCACCCUUCUAUCUUUACUUUCAUUAAAUUUUGUCAUUUUUGUGAAUUAAUAUUAGUGAAAAAUUAUGUUAAUUCAUUGAAGAUAAGGGAGCUAGGAAAGAAAAGCGAGGUAAAUACAUGAAAUCGUGAAAGAAAACAACAUAUCAUAAACAUUAUCGUUAUUGUGUCCCCCCACAGGCCCACAUACCAUUUUCAUCUAUUCCAUUUUCCAAGUGGUAAAAAACAUUUUUUUUUAAAAAAAAAAUUAGGUGAUUAUUUUUUACUCCAGUUGGUAAAAAACAAAUUUUAAAUUUAUUUAGGUGUUAAAAAAUAAUUUAUUCUUGGACUAAUUAGAGACAAAAUUCUUCUUCUACAUAAACGGAUUGUUUUGCAGUGUUAUCUAUUCGAUAAGCAACUAUCAUAAAUUUGUACACAUUUGUUCAUAGAUUUUGCAUGUAAACAACGUUUUAAGAAAGAAUGAAACAUCAUACAUACCUGAGAUAGCCAAUGGAGGCUAUAUGAAGAAUGCACAAAAUGCAAGUGGUUUGAGGGAAAAAGCCUUCCAUAGAAGGAGCCAGGUACACCAUUCACAAAACAAUGCCCAAAAUCAUCUCCUAAUUGUUGCUUGAGCUUAUCCUUAAAGCUUGAUAAUGACUGAAAAAUUGUAUUGAAAUCAUUCUUUGGAAGAUCAUUCAAGUAAACUUGAUACUCUACCGGCCCGUUUCCGAUGUCUCGACGAGCAUCUUCAACGGUUUCUAUGAGGUCGGAAACCACGCUUAAGGUGUUCGACUCUGAAGAGGAACAACCCAAGUCUGCUAUGCAUAUGGUUGCCGGAUGUUCUCUGCAAUAGAGUUCUCUUAUGGCCUUUUCUUUCACCAGUUUUGUUAAUGACAACACCUGUUUCUGUUAAUUACAUGAAUAAUUUUUUUAGGUUUUGACAUGAAUUUUUGUGUUAAAUCUUGGCUCAACCCGAAUUUUAAUUGCCUUUAAUUUAACCUGAUUUAUAUCCUAAUAAAUGAAAAAAAAACUCGGAUAUUUCUUUUAUUAAUUUUUUUUUUGACAUACAGUAAAAUUUAUUAUUAUUAAUACAGCCAUUGUAAUAGCGUAAUAGGAACAUAUAAGUCUUGCCAAAAAAAAGCAACAUAUAAGUACGUGACGUGAUACGUGAUAUCAGUGAUAUGUGUUUCAUUGUUUGACUAUUUAUAUUGGAAAUGUUUGUCGCUCACUACCUAACAAACGAGGAAUGAUAUGUGUCUAACGUUUGUAUAUAGUUCUAUUAAAAUCUAUCAACAAAAAAGGGGAAAGGAAAUGAAAUACUCCCUCCGUCUCGAAAUACUCGACUCGGUUUGACCGGUACAGAGUUUAAGGGACUUGAAUUUACUUAUUUAAUUUAAUAGGUAGUAGUUGAUAGUGGGGUAUUAUUUUAAUGUAGUUAGUGGGAAAUGUGUAAAGGGGUGGGGUUGGGGGAGAGUAGGGGUUGAAUUUUUAAUUAUUUUUUCUAUGGAGUAGGGGGUAUGUGGGUUAAUAGGGGUGGAGUGAGAAAUAAUAUAAUAUUGUUAGAAUAUUUUCAUUUUUAGAAACAGGUCAAGUAUUAAGGGACGACCGAAUAAGGAAAACAGGUCAAGUAUUCCGGGCGGAGGGAGUAGAAUAUUUUUUUUUUUUAUUCAGCUGAGGCAAAGCCUAAUGAAAGAAAAACGUAUAGGAAUUAAAAGGUACUAAAGCAAACAAACAGAAAGCCAAAUUAAAGGAAGUAAAAUCAAGGAGGGAGGCUACAUCGCUGGUUACCAGCGAUGUAUGUGCCCCAUACCCACCAAAAAAAAAGUGAAAAGAAAAUAAAUUACAAUGAUGGCCCACCCCUUAAAUAAAUGGUAAAAUUGUUGCGAACUUGCUAUAUACUGUCAAUGGUUAGAUAAAUACUGUCAUUAUUGUGUAUAUACUGUCAUUGUUGUAUUAAAAUUUGUCAUAAUCAUCCAAAAAGAAGAAAACGAAAUGAAACAAAAAUAGUAAAGGGACCACUUAAAUGACUGGAUAAACGUGUUAGAUAAAUACUGUCAUUAUUGUGUAUAUACUGUCAUUGUUGUAUUAAAAUUUGUCAUAAUCAUCCAAAAAGAAGAAAACGAAAUGAAAUAAAAAUAGUAAAGGGACCACUUAAAU